rnacentral:misc_RNA from 1 species
GGCGACUCCGCUGGGGAACGAUUUAACAUCGUUUUUACAGCGACAAACUGGUGGUGAUUGGCACCCUCAUCGCCAAUCAAGAACAGGGCCAUGGAAGAACAUACUGUAAAGAAGGCAGUGCCGGAUAAAUCUGAUGUUCAUCCUCUAAACGUGAUCAAGGUCACGAUGGAGGACCUUACAGAGGCAGACAGGAAGGAACUUGAAGAAGAAAUUGCACGGGAGAUGGAGGAGAAACGGAAUGAAAAGUUGGCUUGUUUUCGGAAGACCAAGAAUGGCGUAUUCAAACAAGCUAGCGGAGCAGGCACUUCCAGCAAGAAGGUAAGUCCGUUUGUCACUUGUGAAGAAUUGGCUCACAUGAUCGAUACUGCUGUAGCUAGCAAAUAUGGGACUGACGUCACAGAGAUAACACGCAUGAUUUCUGAGGGAGUGCGUAAUUCUUUUGACACGUUUAGAUCUGAAUUUAGACAAGAUAUGAAUAAUAAUAUGCCUAGACAGAUUCGAUCUAUAGUUCAACAGGUUCAAGGAGAAUUGCAGGGGAAGCGUGUAGAAAAUCUUUCAUAUGCGCCUAGUAGUAACGGAGCAGCUGCGCAUAAUAAUGUAAACCAAACUGUUAAUGAGAGGGGCGGGGAUUCAGUAAUGAACUUUAAUCUACAGCAGC